rnacentral:lncRNA from 1 species
CCCGGGCUUGUGCUUAUUUCACUGUCUAACCCUGCCCAGGCCCCGGGGAGAAGCCUGGUAUUCUUCGUGUUUAUUUAAUUGUCAACUCUCUGUGUUCUAAGACGAUACCCUGGCCUUGACUCAGUACAACCUAGGACUGUAAGUCCCAUCAUGUCUAUGGACUUCAGUUUCCAGACAUGAAACACAAGAGGCUUGGACGAGAUUAGAAAUCAAGAACUCGAAUGCGUAUGGUCAGAGCCACGAGGAAUUCCUGUGAGCAUUCCUCUUCAAGAUGGAAGAAAAAGGGAAUAUUUCACAACCCCAAUGGUGAAACGUCUGCCUAUAGCCAACAAUACAAUCGCCAUCCAUGUAUGAUGUGACUUGCUCCUACAUGCCUUCCACCAUGAUUAUGAGGCCUCCUGAGCCAUGUGGAACUGAGAUUUUGACAAAAGUCAACACCCUUUCAUGAAAAAAGGGCUCAACAAAUGAAGGUAAAGAAGAAAUGCAUCUCAACACAAUGAAGGCCAUAUAUAUCACGCUCACAGCUAACAUCAUACUCAGUGGUGAAGGACAAAGUUUAUUCUCUAAUAUUGGGAACAAG